UUUCAUGGAAAUGCUGCGACUUCAAUAUUCGACGAGUACUUUAGGUCCGACAUUACAAAUUCAAAUCCGUUGUCCCGAUUACGGUACCCACAUUUGGGUUUACAGAUUCACAGGUGGCAAACCAAAAGUGACAAACUACAACGAGAACACACGCACAGCAGGGUCAAAUGAUAGGUCCACCCUGCAACUAUUCUGAACCACGCUUCAUUCCCUCAGUCCACAAUUUCGAAGUACAGGAAAGUUGGCAUGUCAGCCUAGUCCCCCCUCACAGUCACGAUCUCAUAUGCGAGACUUCUUUGCAGGUGAUCAAAUAAUAUCUGCGCACACAAACAAGAUCACACAUUAGUGAUUAAAUGAGAUGUCUGAUUCCUUUACCCUACUGAAUCAAGACCUCGGGUAAAGCCCAUUGAUCUCACAGAUGUAGUGUACAAUGCAAACACCACUCUCCUCGAUGCCAACAGGCCAUUAGUCCAACUACAUUACCAAAAAAUUGCUAUUUUUGCUUCAUGAAGUGUACCAGAAACAUAAACUGCAAUUCAUUUUUUACAAAAUCAUUAUGUCAAUGUGAGGCAUCCAAAAGGAAUCACCACCUGUUAAAUCUCAUAGUUACCUUCUUUAGCCACUCAAUCUUGUAACCCAUUAGCUUGGAUUACAUCAUCUUACGUAUGAAAUCCUAGUCAACUUCAUUAUCUGGUUUGCAAAGUUCUUCCUGCAGUUCAUACACCUAAAUCAACUGUUAUUUAGAGACAUACCCACCAUAAAUCAUCUGUUGAUGUGAGAGGUACUUACCACAAAAAGCGGAUCAAAAAUCCCCCUCCAUCUUGCUAGCCAGCCACGGUACAUCUUCAUUUCUUUCACGCCCAACAUUUGAUGGAUGCCCCGCCAGCCAGUCACUGUAAUCUCACC
rnacentral:lncRNA from 1 species